rnacentral:rRNA from 1 species
GAGCGGCGAACGGGUGAGUAACGCGUGGGUAAUCUGCCUCCGAGUGGGGAAUAACACUGGGAAACUGGUGCUAAUACCGCAUGACAUCGACGGGUCCUUGGAUCUGUCGAUCAAAGCUGGGGAGCGCUUGGAGAGGAGCCCGCGUCCGAUUAGCUAGUUGGCGGGGUAACGGCCCACCAAGGCUCCGAUCGGUAGCCGGCCUGAGAGGGCGGACGGCCACACUGGGACUGAGACACGGCCCAGACUCCUACGGGAGGCAGCAGUGGGGAAUUUUUCGCAAUGGGGGAAACCCUGACGAAGCAACGCCGCGUGGAGGAUGAAGGCCUUCGGGUCGUAAACUCCUGUCGACCGGGACGAAAGUGGUCCGACCUAACACGUCGGGCCAUCGACUGUACCGGUGGAGGAAGCCACGGCUAACUCUGUGCCAGCAGCCGCGGUAAUACAGAGGUGGCAAGCGUUGUUCGGAAUUACUGGGCGUAAAGGGCGCGUAGGCGGUCUUGUAAGUCCCGUGUGAAAUCCCUCGGCUCAACUGAGGAACUGCACGGGAAACUGCGAAGCUAGAGUUCGGGAGAGGGAAGCGGAAUUCCGGGUGUAGCGGUGAAAUGCGUAGAUAUCCGGAGGAACACCGGUGGCGAAGGCGGCUUCCUGGACCGACAC